UACGUAGGGUGCAAGCGUUAUCCGGAAUUAUUGGGCGUAAAGAGCUCGUAGGCGGUUUGUCGCGUCUGCUGUGAAAACUGGAGGCUCAACCUCCAGCCUGCAGUGGGUACGGGCAAACUAGAGUGCGGUAGGGGAGAUUGGAAUUCCUGGUGUAGCGGUGGAAUGCGCAGAUAUCAGGAGGAACACCGAGUGGCGAAGGCAGAUCUCUGGGCCGUAAACUGACGCU
rnacentral:rRNA from 1 species